rnacentral:rRNA from 1 species
UAAUCUUGAUGCUUACACCUACUAAAGCAUCCGCCCGAGAACUACGAGCACCAACGCUUGAAACUCUAAGGACUUGGCGGUGCCCCAAACCCACCUAGAGGAGCCUGUUCUGUAAUCGAUGAUCCACGAUAUACCUGACCAUUCCUUGCCAAAACAGCCUACAUACCGCCGUCGCCAGCCCACCUCCACUGAAAGCCCAACAGUGAGCGCAAUAGCCCCACCACGCUAACAAGACAGGUCAAGGUAUAGCCUAUGGAAUGGUAGUAAUGGGCUACAUUUUCUAGACUAGAACAUAACGGCAAAGGGGUGUGAAACAACCCCUGGAAGGCGGAUUUAGCAGUAAAGUGGGACAAUCGAGCCCUCUUUAAGCCGGCCCUGGGGCACGUACAUACCGCCCGUCACCCUCCUCGCAGGCGCCCCCCCCCCCCCUUAA